AUUUGCAAUGGAGGAGAGGGUAUCUUGGUGGAGAUCUCUGUGUACCUGAAGCUUCCUGAAGAGCAGAGCAAUUGGUGCUGAACAGCAUGGAAAAUAGCUACUGGAAAUCAGAGCCCUUUGAAGUUUAAAGAUGUGACAAGCGGAAACAACCUGCACCUCCCUUCCUGACUUCUGCAAAGCAAGUUCCGAAGUACUGUGAGAAAGAUUGUGCUUCCAGUGAUAACACCAAUGACAUUUUCGAAGCUACAAAGCCAUUUGAGUAUACUUGUUACACAGAUCCAGAAGCUCCUUCUAUGUCAGUGGGAUCAGGAGUGGAGCCACACUUGAAUAAAAACAGUUGAUAUAUGCUUUCAGAUUUUUGAAUCUGUUUUAAGCACACAAGGAGAAAUUUAGCUGAUGUGUAGCAAGUUAAUGGAGUUCUGCCAAGGUACAUUUACCUAAUACCCAGUACAAUAUUCUACUGCUUGUUAGAUCAUAAUUCAGCCCAUUAAAUAACUUUGCACUAAC